GNUNNAAUUACGGGUACGGGGAUUAGGGUUCGAUUCCGGAGAGGGAGCCUGAGAAACGGCUACCACAUCCAAGGAAGGCAGCAGGCGCGCAAAUUACCCAAUCCCGACACGGGGAGGUAGUGACAAUAAAUAACAAUACAGGGCUCUUUCGGGUCUUGUAAUUGGAAUGAGUACAAUUUAAAUCCCUUAACGAGGAACAAUUGGAGGGCAAGUCUGGUGCCAGCAGCCGCGGUAAUUCCAGCUCCAAUAGCGUAUAUUAAAGUUGUUGCAGUUAAAAAGCUCGUAGUUGAAUUUCGGGGUUCYACCGUUGGUCGGGCUAUUGUCUGUACUGGCGUGURGAAUUUCUACCUUCUGGGGAACUAUCAUGUUAUUAAUUUAGCGUGGUAGGAAACCAGGACCUUUACCUUGAAAAAAUUAGAGUGUUCAAAGCAGGCUUAUGUCUGAAUACAUUAGCAUGGAAUAAUAAAAUAGGACGGUGGUCCUGUUUUGUUGGUUUCUGAAUCACCGUAAUGAUUAAUAGGGAUAGUUGGGGGCAUUAGUAUUCAAUUGUCAGAGGUGAAAUUCUUGGAUUUAUUGAAGACUAACUACUGCGAAAGCAUUUGCCAAGGAUGUUUUCAUUAAUCAAGAACGAAAGUUAGGGGAUCGAAGACGAUCAGAUACCGUCGUAGUCUUAACCAUAAACUAUGCCGACUAGGGAUCGGACGAUGUUAACUUUUCUUGACUCGUUCGGCGCCUUACGGGAAACCAAUUUUUNGGGUUNUCA
rnacentral:rRNA from 1 species